UUGUAAAUUAAAGGGGCCAUACUCUGGCUUCUCAUGUGUAUCAGCUUGAGUUUAAAGGGUAUAUAACUUUUAUUUGCCUGCAUGUCUGUCUGUCUGUCUGUGUGAGGGUGUUAGAAGCCCUGGAACUGGAGUUAUAGACAGGUGUGACUUCAGCUCUUACUGGGUAUUGAACCCAUGUCCUCUUGAAGAGCACCCAGUGCUCUUAACUGCUGAGCCAUCUCUUCAGCCCCAAGUGAAGUCAUUUUCAAAAAAUUUCUUUUCCAGUCCAGCUUGGCUUUUAUUUGUGCCAGUAGAAGAACAAGAAAAAGUGUCCUCCUUAGAGAGAAGUCAGCUGUAAAAAUGCCUGGGUUGUUAGUAUUUAAUUGAAGCCUCUGAGAGCAGGGGCAGGUGGAUCUCUCCAAGUACAAGGCCCGCCUGACUGUGUGUAGCGUCAAACCUACCACAACUAUAUAGUGCUACAUACAUUGUCUAAAGAAGAAAGAAGAAAAUUUAAACGCCUAGGUAAUAAGAAUUCAGAACUGGCAGCUGGGUGGGGUGGCUCAUACCUAUAAUUCUAACAUUUGAAGGGUUAGAGGCAGGAGGAUCAGUUCAAAGCUGACGGGGUUGACACAAGCUAGCUCGAAACCAGAAAAGCGGGGCUGGAGAGGUGGCUUAGUGGAUACUGCUUUUCCAGAAGACCUGGGUUCACUACUCAGCACCUUAGUGGUAGCUCAGCCGUUUGUAACUCCAGUACCAGGGGGAUGUGACGCGCUCUGCUGUCCUCUAUGGACAUUGCGUGCUUGCGGUACACAAACACACAUGCAGAGAAAACACCUAGGCAUAUAAAGUCGUAAAGUCAUCAUUACAAAGCUUUUUGUUUGUUUGUUUUUCGAGAUAGGGGUUCUCUGUGUAGUCCCAGCUGUCCUGGAACUCACUCUGUAGACCAGGCUGGCCUCGAACUCAGAAAUCCGCCUGCCUCUGCCUCCCGAGUGCUGGGAUUAAAGGCGUGCGCCACCACCGCCCGGCUACAAAACUUUUAAAAAAUAACAGAGAGGUAUCAUGAUAAUGUUAGUUUAUUAGUGCUGGGGUAUGGCCAGGGCCUGCGUUGUGUUUAGUAGCUCUGCACCCCUGGGCUCCACUACCAGCCCCUGUGCUAAUCAAUGCCUUUGUAGGUGCUGGUGUAGGAAGGUCACAGCAGAGGAAGCUCUGUGUCGGACAAGUGUGGAAGUUCUGUACUGUUCUUAUUCCAUCUGCUAAGAAUUUUCCAAAAUAAAACAUUUGCUAAAAGC
rnacentral:lncRNA from 1 species